rnacentral:rRNA from 1 species
AUACGGAGGAUGCGAGCGUUAUCCGGAUUUAUUGGGUUUAAAGGGAGCGUAGGCGGGAGCUUAAGUCAGCGGUUAAAUGGUGCGGCUCAACCGUGCCCUGCCGUUGAAACUGGGUUUCUUGAGAGUGCAAGAGGCGGAUGGAAUUCAUGGUGUAGCGGUGAAAUGCUUAGAUAUCAUGAAGAACUCCGAUUGCGAAGGCAGUCCGCUGGGGCACGUCUGACGCUGAUGCUCGAAGGUGCGGGAAGCAAACAGGAUUAGAUACCCUGGUAGUCCGCACGGUAAACGAUGAUUACCCGCUGUCGGCGGCAGACAGUCGGCGGCCAAGCGAAAGCGAUAAGUAAUCCACCUGGGGAGUACGCCGGCAACGGUGAAACUCAAAGGAAUUGACGGGG